rnacentral:tRNA from 2 species
UGAGGGGUCGUCUAAAGGUAGGACACCAGGUUCUGGCCCUGAUAAUCGAGGUUCGAGUCCUUGCCCCUCAGCCA